CACGUGUCCUCUACCGCCUCUUUUAUUUUCCACGUCUUCCCUCCUUCUUCUUUUCUGUUUCUCUUUCGUUCAGCCUCCACUUCUUUCCCUACGUCAUUGCUUCUUUUUGUUGACACGUGUUAGCAAUCUACCAUGUCUUUAUCUUCCCCCACUGCUUCUCUCAUCUGGUAUCUUCCACUAUCUUCUCGAUUUUGUUUGCCUCCCGUCAACCGCACCCACUGCUGCUACGCCGCUAAGGCAACUGUUGUUGGUAUAGUUAGCAAAGAGGAGGAACAACAACAGUCGUUAGGUCGACGCCCCAUCUUCACCGCCAGUUAUCCAUGUACUAGCAAUUGCGUUUCUCUUUUGAAAUGUCUUCACCGUUAACUAACAACCGAUAACCUCAAAUCUCAACCUCUAAUGUUGGCAAUCGCAUCACUUCAGUUGCAGAACACAGUCCACCGCCUGAAUUUCUUCCUAAACUUCUUUCACCUUAAUCAGAAAUCUCAAAUAUAGGUCGCCAGACUUUGUACAGCUUCUUCAUACCAUCUUCACGAAAUCGAUUCGUAGUUCUUAUGGAAAAAACCCUUGGUAUUGAAGUUAGGAGUAGAAAUGGACGCCUUUGUGCUGGCAAUCAUGUGUUAGAGUACCUGCAACCAUCGUGGGAGAGUUCGGUAUGUGCUAGGGUUCUAUUUAGGGGAUUAUGGUUGUUUCUUUACAACGAACCCAGUAACAACACCACCGAUACUACUAUUGGAAUCGUCGACAGUCGAUUGCAGUUCGUUUCCUCUAUGGUUUCCACAUACACUAAAGCAGCUACCUUCUGGUCACGAUCCUAGCCAGAAUUGAUUGACAGCAGGUUUGGAAUGGCUUCAGCUAAAGAACCUUAUAUAAACAGAAAUAAAGUAUACAUCUAUUAAAGCUUGGAAAUAAGUGAAAACUUACUGGAAAGGAACCAGGACGAUCGGUACCACUGCCACUGUGCCACAAACCCAGUACGCCAGGUUUUACCUUCUCUGUUACCGUUAUUUUGCAUUUUUAUAUUACAUUUCAAAUAUAUGUCAUUCAUUUAGGUUGGAGAUAGGUUUUAAAAAGGAUACAAUCCUUUUAGUGGGUUUCCUUCUCCAAUUAGGAGUUAUCAUUAACAACCAAAUGGAUUUUACAGGGGGAAAUAUGGUAUGUUGAUUUCCUCAUCGUUAUUUUUAUUUAUUUUUAUCUUUUUUUUUUAAAUGAGAUGGUUUUCUGAUUUCUUUUAAAGAUUCUAGAUGAGCCUUCAGUUAAUUACCCACAUAAUAUGCUUUAGAUUGAUAUUAACUAUUAACAAUUAAGGUUAAUGUCAUGGAAUAUCAACCAACUUUUACUUAUUUACCCUUUAAGUUAUCAAAGUUAUGAAAAUGAUGUGAUUGUGAGAUGAUAUAGAUGGUGUAAUGCACAAAAUCUUGAUUGAUUGUGCAACAGUUUUUGACUUUUAGUGACAUCGGUAUUUCUAGAAAAUCCAAAAAUGGAUGCACAUGAGACAUGGAUAUUUCAUCAUGAUGGUUUGGGUAAAAUUUGAUUGAUUGGGAAAGAGAAUUUUCCGGAGCGACUAAUUUGAAGAACACAUACGACAAAGGAAAUCUUAUUCAGUUAGAUAUGGUAGAUUCAAAUGGGGUACAAAAAGAAUUAACUGCCGAGCAGUAUGAGGUAGGAAACUCUCAAGUACGGUUCUAAGGGAAGGAAUUAACCCACCUAUUCCGACCAGGGAGAACAGGCCAUUCGGAAGGGGGAUUCUGAAAUUGCGGAGGCUUGGUUUGACCAAGCCGCUGAGUAUUGGAAACAGGCUAUAGCAUUUACUCCUGGUAAUUAUAUUGAAGCGUAUAAUUAGUUGAAGAUCACUAGACAUUUAUCUUUCCUUUUUUUUCCAUAUUUCUCCUGUUCUUUCUUUGAUUGCCCAGAUUUUGAAUUGUUGAAUUGUUUUGUUGGUUAAAUUUAAGGUUUUUGUUUGUUCGAUUAGAGAAUCAUGUUUGAAAAAUUCUAGGCAGUUUGUAGGCCAUAAAGUUUAAAACUCUCUCACAUAUACAUACACAUACAAUCGUUUUAUUUAAUUCUCUGUAUUUUCAGUCUAUUUAAAUAUAUGUGUCUAUGUAUGAUAAAGUACUUGUGUAUAUAAGGAUGGAUUUAUGGAACAUUGUGAUAACUUCCCUCUUGUCAUGGUUAAUUAAUGGUUUAACUUCAACGAUCAUUAUUGUUUCAACAAACCUAGGUGUUGUGAGGAAGAUAAUUUGGACAAGCUAUUGUCAUGCAUGUUUAAGAGGCUUCUACAUUUGGUGGUAACACCUUUGACCCUGACUCAAUAGCAUGUUUAAGAUACUAUAAAUCAAUUUCGUUUGUUUUAACCACAAUUUCAUAUAUAUAUAAUUCUAGAUUUCAUUUUUUUGGUAGGGUGAUAAAACCUUGAAGUGAUGAUGAUUCUAAUUUCAUAAGGCUAACAUGGUGAAGAACAAGCUCUUAUCUUCACGUUUGUUUUCCUUUUUUCUUGACAGUAUCUUGAUUUUUAUACAUAUGGGCGACAAUACUAGAUCUAUGAAUUUCCAUGUGCAAUGUCCAACAUGUUCAUUUUUCAGUUGACAAUAAUGCCCUUGAAACUUCAUAUAGGUAACCCAUAUAAUUUGUUUCUAUAUCUCCAAGAAGGAAGAUGUCCAGAACAUAGUUGAAUGGAGGAAUAAUUUGACGGUUUUGAGUAGUUUUAAAGAUCAAAUGUGGUGAAACACCAGGGGCUUCAACCGUUGUGGAUUUUCUUCUUCUUUCCCUGACCACAUGGAUUGAAUUGUAUUCCUCUAAACAUUGGUCAUUCAAAUUAAUCACUAAAAUGAGCAUAAUGAGAUUUUUAUACCAUAACAAAAGUGCAACUUUUACCAAUUUAGUAGUGAUGACCAUCUGUCUAAAGCAUUGUUUGUAGAUUUGUUUAUGAACUGUACACGCAUUUUUUUUUGUAUUUAGGGAAUAAAUGCUUAAGAAGUUCAUGUGGAUGUUGGGCUGUUUUAAAUAUAUCAAUUGAUUCCAAAUACACAUAAAGUAUGACAA